AAACUUUAAAUAAAAAACAAAGUUGAGGAUUUUUUUCGAUCUUUCUUUAAUCUUGGAAGCUUCCAAAAUAUUUUAACCAAAAUUAUUCAUGGUAAUUUUAUCUGUAUUAAAUGCGUUAAAAAACUGAAAUAUAAUAUAUUUUAGCUUUUGAACAAAACUCUCUCUCUUUUUUUUCAAUCGACAAAAAAAAUGCAUGCAUAUAGUUUUGUGAUUUAUUUUUGCUUAAAUAGAAAAAAAAUUAAAUCUACCAUUUAUUUCAAAAUUACUAUUACCUAUUAGAAAUGCGAAUUGAUAUAGGUAUAUCUGAACUCAAUUUUGAAUGGAUGAACUUAAUUGAUGCUGAGUAGAGAUAGUUUCAGUUAUAGGUGCAAAAAAAGAAGUCUCAUUAUAUUCUAAUUCAGUUAUGAUUUUGAUCUAUAUCCAAACGGAACUUGAACCGAAAUCCGAAGUCAAAAACAAAACCAAAAUUAUAUAAAAACAUAUUAUAUAUAAAAUAAAUUUUUUUAUAUAUUUUUAAUAAAUAAUAUAUAUUAAUAAUUUAGUUUAAUAUUUAAUAUAUUAAAUUAGUCAAAUUUACAUUUAUUGAAAUACCUAUUAGUAAUUUAACUAUUAAUAAGAGAUAAAGGGUAAAAAUGGCAUUUUAAAAAUUUAACCUCAUUUCAUAUGAGCACUAACGGACUUUAACUAGUGGAGGGUAUUGAUGAAAUUAAUGGUUCGCAUAAGGGCAUCUAUGAAAUUAUCCCAUAUAUAUAUAUGUGUGUGUGUGUGUGUGUGUGUGUGUGUGUGUGUGUAUGAAAAUGAACAUUACUUUUAUGCAUUUAACCUUUAUGCCUAAUUAUAACAUUAGGGGCUUUGGAAGCCUAGAGAGGCUUGGGGACUUAGACUAUUUGGGGGUUUUGGGUUAAUGUCAUAAAGAGGCAUUGGACCCCGGGCUAUAGUGAGCAUUGGUAUUAAUGUCCUAAUUGCAACAUAGAAUAU
rnacentral:lncRNA from 1 species